AACACGUUGGUUUCGCAUCAACAGUCGGUGGUGGGACCUGGGCUACCAAUCCUGGAGCAGAAGUUACAAGGGAAGGUGCAAUAUAUUGUCCGCGAAAGAGCUGGUGGGGAUCUAACCACGGUUCCUGGAGGAAUUUCGGGAUCAUCGCUGAUCCUGCGUAGAGCGAUCCAGUCGGAGAUCGAACGCAAAGUGACGCGGUGCUUUGUUAUUCCUUCGGCUCGAUUUCGAUUCGUUCGUUUCCAGUAAACUUUCCACGGCUCUCCACAGUUUAAAGUCGACUAAACAGCCAAUCGAUAAAAAGCAUUAACAAGUUUCGUUGACGAAUUCGUCGUCCAAGAACAAAGAUUAUCGUCGAGCGACCGAUAAUCCUCCUGCCGUGAACUUCCAGUGAACACCGAAAAAUGCCACUGCCAGCCCACGAAACGAAGAACAUCCUCACCACGUACUUCAUACUCAUACUUCUGUUGAUUUGCCUCUGGUUACUGUACGCAGGAUUGUUUUAACUUCGGUGUACCUCAGCAUGGGUCGAAGCAAGAAGGGAACACCUCGACAGCCCGCCAACCUCGAUUGGUCUGCGAUGCCACGCUCGAUUUUAU